AGCUCCAAUAGCGUAUAUUAAAGUUGCUGCAGUUAAAAAGCUCGUAGUUGGAUUUGUGGCGCGGCCGUCCGGCGGGGGUCCUUCUAUGGUCUCGUUUGUCCUGGUUUUCGGCCGCUCCUUUCUCGGGUAGAGCGUAAUGGCUGGCAUUAGGUUGUCGGCCGCUUCGCGCCCGUCGUUUACUGUGAAAAAAUUAGAGUGUUCAAAGCAGGCUUAGGCCGUUGGAUACAUUAGCAUGGAAUAAUGGAAGAGGACCUCGGUCCUAUUUUGUUGGUUUCUGGGGCCGAAGUAAUGAUUAAGAGGGACAGUUGGGGGCAUUCGUAUUUAAUUGUCAGAGGUGAAAUUCUCGGAUUUAUGAAAGACGAACAACUGCGAAAGCAUUUGCCAAGGAUGUUUUCAUUAA
rnacentral:rRNA from 1 species